rnacentral:tRNA from 1 species
AUCAGCGUGGUUCAGUGGAAAGAGCCUGGGCUUCGGUGUCAGAGGUCAUGGGUUCGACUCCCAUCUCUGCCA